rnacentral:rRNA from 1 species
UACGUAGGGGGCAAGCGUUGUCCGGAAUCAUUGGGCGUAAAGGGCUCGUAGGCGGUCCAUCGCGUCGGGAGUGAAAAGCUGGGGCUUAACCCCAGUCCUGCUUCCGAUACGGGUGGACUAGAGGUAGGUAGGGGAGAACGGAAUUCCUGGUGUAGCGGUGAAAUGCGCAGAUAUCAGGAGGAACACCGGUGGCGAAGGCGGUUCUCUGGGCCUUACCUGACGCUGAGGAGCGAAAGCAUGGGGAGCAAACAGG